CCAGCAUCCAUCAUUUAAGAACCGGGUGAAUCUGCAGGACAGACGGAUGAAGGAUGGAGACGUGUCUUUGAUUCUGAAGGAUGUCAUAACUGCAGACGCUGGAACAUAUGAGUGUCGUGUCAGCCAGAGAAGAACAAGCCACAGGAAGAGAACUCAUCUGAAGACUGACCUCAUCAGCAUUAUCGACCUGAGUGUUGAUGUUCCUCCAGGUCAGUCAAGAGAACACACAGACAAUGGAGGAGAGAAGAUUGGAUCUGUUGGACUCAUAGCUGCUCUGUUAGUUCCUACUGUGCUUCUUUUUGGUGAGUUUUGAUCUAUAGAAAAGGUCUCUGAGUUUAAAAAAAAUGUUUAUCUUUAAUUUUCCGGCUGAACUCUGAGUCGACACUGUUUUCAUCGAGGAUUUGAAAUAUUCCCAGAAUUGGAAAGAUUCCAAUGAAUGUCAAACCAACUCACUGCGAUGCUCAUCAACCAGCAGGGGGUGAUGUUUUCACAGAAAAUUCACUUUUAGCAAACUGUGGAAUUUUUGUCUUUUAAUUCAGCGGAGCAACACAUUUUUUUUUUUAUAUUCAGUUUAGCAGCUCUGAUCCUGAGUUUAAACCUGAGCAGGACACUCCCACAUCUGAAAAAAACAAAACAUGGCUGCUUCAUGAUCGAGGCCGUGUACAAAUCUUACAAGAUGAGGAGUAGUUCUACAUGUAAGUCUAUAUCUGGUCUCCUGUAACUUCCUGUAAUGCAGGACUGAGUAAAACAUGACUCUUUCUACAUUGUAUUUACAUAUAAAGUCCAGCCUAAUGUUCAUUAUUCUGUGCACUGUUCCAAGCCAUUAAAAUGGGAUCAAAAGUC